AGAUUUAUCGGAGAAGGAUCGGCCCGCGUUGGAUUAGGUAGUUGGUGGGGUAACGGCCUACCAAGCCGACGAUCCAUAGCUGGUUUGAGAGGAUGAUCAGCCACACUGGGACUGAGACACGGCCCAGACUCCUACGGGAGGCAGCAGUGGGGAAUCUUAGACAAUGGGGGCAACCCUGAUCUAGCCAUGCCGCGUGAGUGAUGAAGGCCUUAGGGUUGUAAAGCUCUUUCAGCUGGGAAGAUAAUGACGGUACCAGCAGAAGAAGCCCCGGCUAACUCCGUGCCAGCAGCCGCGGUAAUACGGAGGGGGCUAGCGUUGUUCGGAAUUACUGGGCGUAAAGCGCACGUAGGCGGACCAGAAAGUUGGGGGUGAAAUCCCNGGGGCUCAACCUCGGAACUGCCUUCAAAACUACUGGUCUGGAGUUCGAGAGAGGUGAGUGGAAUUCCGAGUGUAGAGGUGAAAUUCGUCGACAUUCGGAGGACACCAGUGGCGAAGCGGCUCACUGGCUCG
rnacentral:rRNA from 1 species